rnacentral:rRNA from 1 species
AGUGAACGCUGGCGGCAGGCCUAACACAUGCAAGUCGAACGGCAGCACAGUAAGAGCUUGCUCUUACGGGUGGCGAGUGGCGGACGGGUGAGGAAUACAUCGGAAUCUACUUUUUCGUGGGGGAUAACGUAGGGAAACUUACGCUAAUACCGCAUACGACCUACGGCUGAAAGCAGGGGAUCUUCGGACCUUGCGCGAUUGAAUGAGCCGAUGUCGGCUUAGCUAGUUGGCGAGGUAAAGGCCCACCAAGGCGACGAUGCGUAGCCGACCUGAGAGGAUGAUCGGCCACACUGGAACUGAGACACGGUCCAGACUCCUACGGGAGGCAGCAGUAGGGAAUCUUGAGCAAUGGGCGAAAGCCUGACGGAGCAACGCCGCGUGAGUGAUGAAGGUCUUCGGAUCGUAAAACUCUGUUAUUAGGGAAGAACAAAUGUGUAAGUAACUAUGCACGUCUUGACGGUACCUAAUCAGAAAGCCACGGCUAACUACGUG